AGAGUUUGACUCUGGCUCAGGAUGAACGCUAGCGAUAGGCUUAACACAUGCAAGUCGAGGGGCAGCGAGAUGUAGCAAUACGUCGUCGGCGACCGGCGAAUGGGUGAGUAACACGUAUGCAACUUACCUCUUAGUGGUGAAUAACCCGAUGAAAGUCGGACUAAUACACCAUACUCUCCUUAGAUCACAUGAGAAGAGGAGGAAAGAUUAAUCGCUAAGAGAUAGGCCUGCGUUCCAUUAGCUAGUUGGUAAGGUAACGGCUUACCAAGGCAACGAUGGAUAGGGGGACUGAGAGGUUGACCCCCCACAUUGACACUGAGAUACGGGUCAAACUCCUACGGGAGGCAGCAGUGAGGAAUAUUGGUCAAUGGGCGAGAGCCUGAACCAGCCAAGUAGCGUGAAGGAUGACUGCCCUAUGGGUUGUAAACUUCUUUUAUACGGGAAUAAAGUCACUUACGUGUAAGUGUUUGUAUGUACCUUAUGAAUAAGCAUCGGCUAACUCCGUGCCAGCAGCCGCGGUAAUACGGAGGAUGCGAGCGUUAUCCGGAAUUAUUGGGUUUAAAGGGUGCGUAGGUUGCAAGGGAAGUCAGGGGUGAAAAGCUGUAGCUCAACUAUGGUCUUGCCUUUGAAACUCUCUAGCUAGAGUGUACUGGAGGUACGUGGAACGUGUGGUGUAGCGGUGAAAUGCAUAGAUAUCACACAGAACUCCGAUUGCGCAGGCAGCGUACUACAUUACAACUGACACUGAAGCACGAAAGCGUGGGUAUCAAACAGGAUUAGAUACCCUGGUAGUCCACGCAGUAAACGAUGAAUACUAGAUCUAUGCGAUAUACAGUAUGGGUCUAAGCGAAAGCGAUAAGUAUUCCACCUGGGGAGUACGCCGGCAACGGUGAAACUCAAAGAGAUUGGCGGGGGUCCGCACAAGCGGAGGAACAUGUGGUUUAAUUCGAUGAUACGCGAGGAACCUUA
rnacentral:rRNA from 1 species